rnacentral:rRNA from 1 species
UACGAAGGGGCUAGCGUUGCUCGGAAUGACUGGGCGUAAAGGGCGCGUAGGCGGCUUGCACCGUCAGAUGUGAAAUUCCUGGGCUUAACCUGGGGGCUGCAUUUGAUACGUGUGGGCUUGAGUGCGGAAGAGGGUCGUGGAAUUCCCAGUGUAGAGGUGAAAUUCGUAGAUAUUGGGAAGAACACCGGUGGCGAAGGCGGCGACCUGGUCCGUGACUGACGCUGAGGCGCGAA